rnacentral:rRNA from 1 species
AAACGAUGCCAACCAGUAAUUCGCCUGAGUUCCUUAAAUGACUCGGCGAGGGACUUCCGGGAAACCAAAGUCUUUCGGUUCCAGGGGAAGUAUGGUUGCAAAGCUGAAACUUAAAGAAAUUGACGGAAGGGCACCACCAGGAGUGGAGCCUGCGGCUUAAUUUGACUCAACACGGGAAAACUCACCCGGCCCGGACACUGGAAGGAUUGACAGAUUGAGAGCUCUUUCUUGAUUCAGUGGGUGGUGGUGCAUGGCCGUUCUUAGUUGGUGGAGUGAUUUGUCUGGUUAAUUCCGAUAACGAACGAGACUCUAGCCUACUAAAUAGAUCGUCGGCUUACAAACGCCGACGAGACUUCUUAGAGGGACAGGCGGCGAUUCAGCCGCACGAAACAGAGCAAUAACAGGUCUGUGAUGCCCUUAGAUGUCCGGGGCCGCACGCGCGCUACACUGAAGUGAUCAGCGUGCUUUUUCAACCUACUCUGUCAAGAGUGGGGAACCCAAUGAACCUUCUUCGUGAUUGGGAUAGGGGAUUGUAAUUAUUCCCCUUGAACGAGGAAUUCCCAGUAAGCGCGAGUCAUAAGCUCGCGUUGAUUACGUCCCUGCCCUUUGUACACACCGCCCGUCGCUACUACCGAUUGAAUGUUUUAGUGAGGUCUUCGGACUGGCCGGUGCAGCUACUCUUGUAGUGGCAGCGCUGUGUUUGGAAAGAUGCCCAAACUUG